rnacentral:rRNA from 1 species
AUUAGUACGUGGACGUAGACCCGAAACCGGGUGAUCUACCCCUGUCCAGGAUGAAGGUACGGUAACACGUACUGGAGGUCCGAACCCACGCACGUUGAAAAGUGCGGGGAUGAGGUGGGGGUAGCGGAGAAAUUCCAAUCGAACCCGGAGAUAGCUGGUUCUCCCCGAAAUAGCUUUAGGGCUAGCCUCGGAAGGUGAGUCGCGGAGGUAGAGCACUGAUUGGAUGCGGGGCCCGCAAGGGUUACCAAGUUCAGUCAAACUCCGAAUGCCGCAGACUUUAUUCCGGGAGUCAGACAGUGGGUGCUAAGGUCCAUUGUCAAAAGGGAAACAGCCCAGACCAUCAGCUAAGGUCCCCAAGUGUGUGUUAAGUGGGAAAGGAUGUGGAGUUGCUUAGACAACCAGGAUGUUGGCUUAGAAGCAGCCACCAUUGAAAGAGUGCGUAAUAGCUCACUGGUCGAGUGACUCUGCGCCGAAAAUGUAACGGGGCUAAACACACCACCGAAGCUAUGGCUUGAUGCAAUGCAUCAGGGGUAGGGGAGCGUUGAAUUUAGGUUGAAGGUGUACCGUAAGGAGCGCUGGACAGAAUUCAAGUGAGAAUGCCGGUAUGAGUAACGAAAAGAUCAGUGAGAAUCUGAUCCGCCGAAAGCCCAAGGGUUCCUGAGGAAGGCUCGUCCUCUCAGGGUAAGUCGGGACCUAAGGCGAGGCCGAAAGGCGUAGUCGACGGACAACAGGUUGAAAUUCCUGUACCACCGAAAGCCGUUAUGAGCAAUGGGGUGACGCAGGAGGGUAGUGACGCGGACUGAUGGAUGUCCGUCUAAGCAGUGAGGCUGGUGUGUAGGUAAAUCCGCACACUCCAAGGCCAGGCUGUGAUGGGGAGCGAAAAUUACAGUAGCGAAGGUCAUGAUCUCACACUGCCAAGAAAAGCCUCUAGCCAGGAAGCAGGUGCCCGUACCGCAAACCGACACAGGUGGGCGAGAAGAGAAUUCUAAGGCGCGCGGAAGAACUCUCGUUAAGGAACUCGGCAAAAUGACCCCGUAACUUCGGGAGAAGGGGUGCCCCGGUAGUGUGAAUAGCACGAGGGGGCCGCAGUGAAAAGGCCCAAGCGACUGUUUAGCAAAAACACAGGUCUGUGCGAAGCCGCAAGGCGAAGUAUACGGGCUGACGCCUGCCCGGUGCUGGAAGGUUAAGGGGAGUGGUUAGCGCAAGCGAAGCUAUGAACCGAAGCCCCAGUAAACGGCGGCCGUAACUAUAACGGUCCUAAGGUAGCGAAAUUCCUUGUCAGGUAAAUUCUGACCCGCACGAAUGGCGUAACGAUUUGGGCGCUGUCUCAACGAGAGAUCCGGUGAAAUUUUAAUACCUGUGAAGAUGCAGGUUACCCGCGACAAGACGGAAAGACCCCAUGGAGCUUUACUGCAGCUUGAUAUUGAACUGGGGUGCGAUUUGUACAGGAUAGGUGGGAGCCUACGAAGAGGGAGCGCAAGCUUCCUUGGAGGCGCCGUUGGGAUACCACCCUGAUCGCAUCUGAGUUCUAACCUGGUACCGUAAUCCGGUACAGGGACCGUGUCAGGUGGGCAGUUUGACUGGGGCGGUCGCCUCCUAAAAUGUAACGGAGGCGCCCUAAGGUUCCCUCAGAAUGGUUGGAAAUCAUUCGAAGAGUGUAAAGGCAUAAGGGAGCUUGACUGCGAGACCUACAAGUCGAGCAGGGACGAAAGUCGGGCUUAGUGAUCCGGUGGUACCGCAUGGAAGGGCCAUCGCUCAACGGAUAAAAGCUACCCUGGGGAUAACAGGCUUAUCUCCCCCAAGAGUCCACAUCGACGGGGAGGUUUGGCACCUCGAUGUCGGCUCAUCGCAUCCUGGGGCUGAAGUAGGUCCCAAGGGUUGGGCUGUUCGCCCAUUAAAGCGGUACGCGAGCUGGGUUCAGAACGUCGUGAGACAGUUCGGUCCCUAUCUGUCGUGGGCGUAGGAAAUUUGAGAGGAGCUGUCCUUAGUACGAGAGGACCGGGAUGGACGCACCGCUGGUGUACCAGUUGUUCCGCCAGGAGCAUCGCUGGGUAGCUACGUGCGGAAGGGAUAAGCGCUGAAAGCAUCUAAGCGUGAAGCCCCCCUCAAGAUGAGAUUUCCCAGUAUGUAAGACCCCUUGAAGACGACGAGGUAGAUAGGUUGGGGGUGGAAGUGCAGCAAUGCAUGGAGCUGACCAAUACUAAUCGGUCGAGGGCUUAUCCAA